GGGCUCCGAAUCGGAACGAUGGUGGGGAGUGAUGAUGAGAUUCCUGGCGGGCUGGCGAACAAAAUCUCCAGUACUCUCUUGAGAUAGUAAAGGUUGUGGGAACAAAAGGAGGCAUAGGGUGUGUAAGAGGAGCGGGAAGGCCAUGAGAGAUUUACUAAAUUUCUUCAUUUUGUUGUUUUGGCUUGAACUUGUUAAUGGAUGUAACUUGUAGCUGUGAGUGAAGGGUCUUAAUAGGGAGGACGAGAUAUAUAAUGGGGUUGCAGAAAGAAGACUUGUUGAGAUGAAACUCAUUUAUUUAAAAUAGCAAUUUUUUGUUCACUUGGAUUGGGGGAGGCCGGGAGGGUACGUGCUUGCAUGUGUUUCCUAGUAUAAGAUUUGUGAAAAAUAUGUUAUCUUAAGAGUUCCAGCAAAGACCAACUGGAAGUCUAUAUUCCAUCGUACUUAAACCUUGUUUGUUUAAGAGAGUACAUCACUAAUCCCCUCACCACGUUGUGUAUGCAAUAAACGAUAAGUAACUGAUCACGAAAUAUGUUUUAUUAAUUAAUUUCCAUAUAUAGAUAAUAAUUGAACCGAACCUCAUAUAUAUGAUUUAUGGGACGAUGCAAACUUAUCACCCACCACGUGUUUAGGGUCAAAAUUUACACAAUUAAUUCUAUAUAUGGACCGAACCUCAUAUAUAUGGUUUAUGAGACGAUGCAAACUUAUCACCACGCCACGUAUUUAGGGUGAAAAUUUACACAAUUAACUUCACAUAUGGAUAGGUAAGAAGGUGUGUUAGUGUGUAUAUAUAUAUAUAUAACCCGCCACACCGGUAAAAGUAAGUGGUGCUUGCCUCCAAUGGUCCAAUCACAGCAUUGUGGAUCUUCCCGGAGGUGUAGAAAAAAUAUUGAUACUUUGUAUGUUCCCCCUCUGCUUUUGCACUAUAUUCCCCUGCUUUUGUUCCGUACUCGACUAUAGUUUCAGCGUCCUUGUCUUCUGUUAUCCACGAUACUCUCAUCUUAUCUUUCCCCACCAAUGAAAUAUGCACCUGCACAUUAAUAACAUACAGCUUGCAUAAAAUUGAUACCUUGUGAAAAUUGAAAUCAUGCAACUAACUUAAUUAUGUACGGUGAAUUACCUGUUGGGGCUCCGAAUCGGAACGAUGGUGGGGAGUGAUGAUGAGAUUCCUGGCGGGCUGGCGAACAAAAUCUCCAGUACUCUCUUGAGAUAGUAAAGGUUGUGGGAACAAAAGGAGGCAUAGGGUGUGUAAGAGGAGCGGGAAGGCCAUGAGAGAUUUACUAAAUUUCUUCAUUUUGUUGUUUUGGCUUGAACUUGUUAAUGGAUGUAACUUGUAGCUGUGAGUGAAGGGUCUU
rnacentral:lncRNA from 1 species